rnacentral:rRNA from 1 species
GACGUAGGGCGCGAGCGUUGUCCGGAUUUAUUGGGCGUAAAGAGCUCGUAGGCGGCUUGUCGCGUCGACUGUGAAAACCCGCGGCUCAACUGCGGGCUUGCAGUCGAUACGGGCAGGCUAGAGUUCGGUAGGGGAGACUGGAAUUCCUGGUGUAGCGGUGAAAUGCGCAGAUAUCGGGAGGAACACCAGUGGCGAAGGCGACUUCCUGGCCUGUUCUUGACGCUGAGGCGCGAAAGCUAGGGUAGCAAACGGG